rnacentral:rRNA from 1 species
AACGAACGCUGGCGGCAGGCCUAACACAUGCAAGUCGAGCGCGCCCUUCGGGGUGAGCGGCGGACGGGUGAGUAACGCGUGGGAACGUGCCCUUUUCUACGGAAUAGCCUCGGGAAACUGAGAGUAAUACCGUAUACGCCCUUUGGGGGAAAGAUUUAUCGGAAAAGGAUCGGCCCGCGUUGGAUUAGGUAGUUGGUGGGGUAAUGGCCUACCAAGCCGACGAUCCAUAGCUGGUUUGAGAGGAUGAUCAGCCACACUGGGACUGAGACACGGCCCAGACUCCUACGGGAAGCAGCAGUGGGGAAUCGUAGACAAUGGGGGCAACCCUGAUCUAGCCAUGACGCGUGAGUGAUGAAGGCCUUAGGGUUGUAAAGCUCUUUCAGCUGGGAAGAUAAUGACGGUACCAGCAGAAGAAGCCCCGGCUAACUCCGUG